rnacentral:rRNA from 1 species
CCUACGGGGUGCUGCAGUGGGGAAUAUUGGACAAUGGGCGAAAGCCUGAUCCAGCCAUGCCGCGUGUGUGAAGAAGGCCUUCGGGUUGUAAAGCACUUUCAGUGGGGAAGAAAGCCUUGGGGCUAAUACCCUCGAGGAAGGACAUCACCCACAGAAGAAGCACCGGCUAACUCCGUGCCAGUAGCCGCGGUAAUACGGAGGGUGCGAGCGUUAAUCGGAAUUACUGGGCGUAAAGCGCGCGUAGGCGGUCUGAUAAGCCGGUUGUGAAAGCCCCGGGCUCAACCUGGGAACGGCAUCCGGAACUGUCAGGCUAGAGUGCAGGAGAGGAAGGUAGAAUUCCCGGUGUAGCGGUGAAAUGCGUAGAGAUCGGGAGGAAUACCAGUGGCGAAGGCGGCCUUCUGGACUGACACUGACGCUGAGGUGCGAAAGCGUGGGUAGCAAACAGGAUUAGAUACCCCGGUAGUC